GGUGGGGUGGAUUAGGAGUUUGCAUAAGAUUAAAUGUACAAACCUUAUUGUUUGGACCCGAUUUUACACUAUCGGCCCAAGUAAUCGAGGCCGUUGGGUAAGCAAUUUUAAAGGAUAGUAUUAUGAUUUUUAUCGUAAUAUUUAUCCGUUAAUAUUAAUUACUUUUGGCAUAUUCUUAUUAUAUUUUCAAGCAAGCAGUACAGUUCAAGUGGGCUAGGAAUUCUUGUUAUCAGAUUGGGAUAACAUGAUGGGUGUGAUUAGAAUUGUCAAGAUGCAUGGUUUUCUUCUAUGCGUGGAAUGCCAAGAUGAAAUCUCUGAUAAUGGAGCCGCUCAUAUCCUAGAUGGGAUAAUUAUUAGCAUAAAAAUAUAUGCUAAUAUAUGCAAAUUGGUGGGCUGACUCCAUCAAAUCCUACGGCCAAGGACCAAUAAGGAUGUGGAGAUUUUGAAUUAAACAAAGUUUUAUUUGGUUGGAUAACUGCAUGAUGACCUCAUGCGAUUAUAUUUGUUUGAUCCCGUCAAACAUGGAUGCUUUUUCAUGGUCUUUUUAAAUCGAUAAUGAUCCAAUUUGAGAUAAGGGCUGAUGGGAGUUUAAUC
rnacentral:lncRNA from 1 species